GGCCUCGUGGCGGAGUGGCUACGCAGCGGUCUGCAAAACCGCGUACACCGGUUCAAAUCCGGUCGAGGCCU
rnacentral:tRNA from 1 species